GCGCCGGUGGUGCAGAGCGUAGCAUCGCUGUCCGGAAAGCAGAAGGCGCGGGUUUGAGUCCCGCCCCACGCA
rnacentral:tRNA from 1 species